rnacentral:rRNA from 1 species
UACGGAGGAUCCAAGCGUUAUCCGGAUUUAUUGGGUUUAAAGGGUGCGUAGGUGGCCUGGUAAGUCAGGGGUGAAAGACGGUAGCUUAACUAUCGCAGUGCCUUUGAUACUGCCGGGCUUGAAUGAACUAGAGGUAGGCGGAAUGUGGCAAGUAGCGGUGAAAUGCAUAGAUAUGUCACAGAACACCGAUUGCGAAGGCAGCUUACUAUGGUUUUAUUGACACUGAGGCACGAAAGCGUGGGGAUCAAACAGG